rnacentral:rRNA from 1 species
GUGUCAGCCGCCGCGGUAAUACGUAGGGUGCGAGCGUUAAUCGGAAUUACUGGGCGUAAAGCGUGCGCAGGCGGCUCUUUAAGUCAGAUGUGAAAGCCCCGGGCUUAACCUGGGAACUGCGUUUGAAACUGGAGAGCUGGAGUGUGGCAGAGGAAGGUGGAAUUCCUGGUGUAGCAGUGAAAUGCGUAGAGAUCAGGAGGAACACCGAUGGCGAAGGCAGCCUUCUGGGCCAACACUGACGCUCAUGCACGAAAGCGUGGGGAGCAAACAGGAUUAGAAACCCCCGUAGUCC